CAGUCGCCGCGGGAAUACGGGGGAGGCAAGUGUUAUACGGAAUGACUGGGCGUAAAGGGCACGUAGGCGGUGAAAAGGGUGGAAAGUGAAAGUCGCCAAAACACUGGCGGGGUGCUUUCUUGACCAUUUCACUUGAGUGAGAUAGGGGAGAGUGGAAUUUCGUGUGGAGGGAUCAAAUCCUAAGAUAUACGAAGGAACGCCAACCGCGAAGGCAGCUCUCUGGGUCCCCACUGACGCUGGGGUGCGAAAGCAUGGGGAGCAAACAGGAUUAGAUACCCCUGUAGUCCCUGUCUCUUAUACA
rnacentral:rRNA from 1 species